AGAGUUUGAUCCUGGCUCAGGAUGAACGCUGGCGGCGUGCUUAACACAUGCAAGUCGAACGAUGAAGCCCUUCGGGGUGGAUUAGUGGCGAACGGGUGAGUAACACGUGGGCAAUCUGCCCUUCACUCUGGGACAAGCCCUGGAAACGGGGUCUAAUACCGGAUAAUACCUGCCUGGGCAUCUGGGUGGGUUAAAAGCUCCGGCGGUGAAGGAUGAGCCCGCGGCCUAUCAGCUUGUUGGUGAGGUAGUGGCUCACCAAGGCGACGACGGGUAGCCGGCCUGAGAGGGCGACCGGCCACACUGGGACUGAGACACGGCCCAAACUCCUACGGGAGGCAGCAGUGGGGAAUAUUGCACAAUGGGCGAAAGCCUGAUGCAGCGACGCCGCGUGAGGGAUGACGGCCUUCGGGUUGUAAACCUCUUUCAGCAGGGAAGAAGCGAGAGUGACGGUACCUGCAGAAGAAGCGCCGGCUAACUACGUGCCAGCAGCCGCGGUAAUACGUAGGGCGCAAGCGUUGUCCGGAAUUAUUGGGCGUAAAGAGCUCGUAGGCGGCUUGUCACGUCGGGUGUGAAAGCCCGGGGCUUAACCCCGGGUCUGCAUUCGAUACGGGCUAGCUAGAGUGUGGUAGGGGAGAUCGGAAUUCCUGGUGUAGCGGUGAAAUGCGCAGAUAUCAGGAGGAACACCGGUGGCGAAGGCGGAUCUCUGGGCCAUUACUGACGCUGAGGAGCGAAAGCGUGGGGAGCGAACAGGAUUAGAUACCCUGGUAGUCCACGCCGUAAACGGUGGGAACUAGGUGUUGGCGACAUUCCACGUCGUCGGUGCCGCAGCUAACGCAUUAAGUUCCCCGCCUGGGGAGUACGGCCGCAAGGCUAAAACUCAAAGGAAUUGACGG
rnacentral:rRNA from 1 species